rnacentral:lncRNA from 1 species
GGAAUUAUCAUCAUAUCCUCAUUCAAAAGAUAAUUCAAGUCGAAUGUCGAACACAUCUCAUAUUUAAGUUGCAAGUUCUCCUAUUUUAUGUUCAUAAAGGACAAAAUCCAUGUGUGUGUGAAGCGUGGUAGAUCAAUCGAUUUCAAAUGAAAUAAUUCUUGAAAGGAUAAGGAGUAAAUAAUUAUAAUAAGAAGGCAAUGUGCUCUUGAAGAGCCCAUGAUAUAACACUUCAUGAAACCUUAUGAGAGGUUCAGGUACCUGAAAAUAAUAAAGUGAUGAGAUGUCAAAAUGUUAUCUCACACUGUGAACCAAUGCAAAAUGAUAUAUUAUCAAUAAUUUCUUUGAUACAAUAUUGACACAAUAUUGUAAGAGAUUACGAGGAUAUGAAUUCUACGUUUAUUUAAGCAUGCUAACAUAGAAACAUUCAUCAAGUGACAUGAAAGGAUACAUUUUGGUAAGUAUUACACUUAUUUAAUUUACAGUCCAGACACUUGAAGAUAUAACUCAUGAAAUGUUGAAAAUUGUCACUAGACAAAAUUUACAUGAAAACUUUUCAAGGAUUCAAAAUAUUUGAAGCCUAUAAAAGUUUUCGGGAAACUUAUUUAUAAUCCUUAUAUUAUAUAAGCUUAUAGAUUGAAAAUUAUUGAAACUCUUGAAGAGUUUUCAAAAGCAAUAGAUUAUUUGCUGGAAUGAGAAAUAUACCGAAUUAGAUUGGUUAUGAAGUACCAUAUCUUAGUGCAAUUGGUGCACUCAUGUAUCUUGUAACAUACUACAAUACCCAAUAUAACCUUUUCCUCAAUUUGUAAGCAAGGUAUAGUUCUAGUCCUACUAGGAGACAUCGAAAUGAGAUCAAACAUAUGAGAUUAUUUAUUCUAAAGACUGUAGUUCCGAUCUUGUUGAUUUUGCUAAUGUUGGGUACUUAUCUGAUCCAUAUAAAGCUCGAUCUCAAAUAAGAUAUAUGUUCACAUGUGGGAUACUGUCAUAUCUUGAAGAUAUACAAAGCAUUCUAUCUAGCCACUUCAUCGAACCAUGCUGAGAUAAUACCUAUCCAUGAAGCUAGCCAAGAGUGUGUGUGGUUGAGGUCCACGAUACAUAUCAUUCGCAAAAAAAGUAGUUUGAAAUGUGACAAAGCACCCAUAACUUUUUAUGAAGAUAAUGCAGCAUGCACAACACAACUUAAGGGAGGACUCAAGGAGAUAAAACGAAGCACAUUUUGUCAAAACUUUUUUAUGCACACGAGCUACAAAAGAAUGGUGAUAUUAACGUGCAACAGAUUCGUUCAAGUGACAAUGUAGUUGGUUUAUUUACCAAUUCUCCUCCAAUUACAACUUUUAUGAAGAUGGUACACAAGAUCGGGAUGGAAAGGUUCAAGGAUGUUCUCAUUAGGGGGAGAUAAUAUGUGUUGUACUCCUUUUUUCUUAUGAGGUUUUGUCCCACUAGGUUUUCCUUGUAAGUUUUUUAAUGAGGCAACCUAUAUGCGUAUUGUUAGAGAUGUGUACUCUUUUUCCUUCACUAGAUUUUUCCCACUGGGUUUUUUCUAGUAAGGUUUUAACUAGACACAUUAUCUAUCAAUUAGACAUUCAAGGGGAGUGUUAUAAAUAUAUUACCAUAUAUAGUGAAUGUCUAUUUUACCAUAUAUAGUGAAUGUCUACUUUACCAUAUAUAGUGUAUGUCUAUUUAUGGAAAAGUUAGAAAUUUCAAGAUUAGUUUUUCCCUAUAAAUAAAGGAGGUUCCCUUCAUUGUAAUUCACCCCUUCAAGAAAUCUCUCAAGAGAAAUAAUAAUUACUCUCCCUUCUCUGUAUCAUUUUUUUUUCUUGCUUUUAUAUUUCAUAACAAAUUUAAUUUUUCUUUUUUUUUUUACAUAAAGGACCGAUAACCGUCCCAUUUCUUGAAUUGUGUUGGGAUGAACCGGUCCAAACCGGUUAAAAUCGAUUCUACACUAUGUGGGCCGGUCACGGGCCAUUUGAAGAUUUUAUACUGUUGGGUCGGACCGGCUCAACCCAUUAAGAACUGGAUCCGGACCGGAUCGACCUACAGAUUGGUAACAUUUAAUGUGCCGGUGCCAGUUUGAACCGAACCGGCCUGAUUAACAGGCUUAGGGGUGAUAUAAUAAAAUCACAAUUGGAGCAUCGAAACAAACAUGUCUUAAAUGACUUAUAAUAACUAAUCAGAUUUGAUAUAACAAAAUUACUAUACAAAAUACUUGUGAAAAUUUUUUGAGUUGGCCUCAUAUAAGACGUCAAGUUAAUUUAAAAUAUUAAGAGUUAAUUUAAUAUUUUAUGUCUAUUUUAGUCCUUUUAUUAAAUAUUAUUAUUUUUUAAUACUUAGAUGACUUAUAAUAAUUAAUUAUUGGUGAUAUAGUAAAACUAUAGUUGAAACAUCUGAAAGAGACAUGUCAUAAAUGCUUAUUUUACUUUUUUAAUUAAAUAUUAGUAAUUUUUUAACGUGUAAAUAACAUAUAAUAAUUAAUUAGAGGUGAUAUAGUAAAAUCACGGGUUGAACCAGCUAAAGGAAAUAUGUUAUAACUGUUUAUUUACUUUUUUAUUAAAUAUCAUUAAUUUUUUAAUAUGUAAAUGACUUAUAAUAAUUAAUUAGGGGUGAUAUAUUAAAAUUACGGAUUUAAGCAAAUGAAGCAUGUAAAGAAGCAGACUUGUUGAUGAAGUGUUGCCUACUUAUUCACACUUAUAUAUGUGUGUGUAAAAUAAAAAAAAUUAACUUUACAUAUAAUAUAUUUUACUAUGAAUAUGUAUAAACCUCGAUCUUCUUAUACCCUAGCUCUGCGCCAUUGAAAAAAAAUACUUCCUCUGUUUAAAAAAUAAUGACCUAUUCGAUUUGGUAUAGAGUUUAAGAAAAUAAAGAAGAUUCUUGAAUCUUAUAAUCUUAAAUAAAAAUUAUAACAAAUAUAUCAUAAUGCUUCUUGAUCUUGUGGUCUAAAAUAUGCUAUAUAAUAAAUUAAAAUUAAAAUAUUAUAAAAAAGAUCACUUUUUAAAAUAAAUUAAAAUGGAAAGCAAUUUAAUUUUUUUUGAGUGAAGGGAGUAUAAAACUACGUAAUCAAUAAAUAUUGAGAAUAUGACAUGAAGAUUAAUCAUAUCUAAUAAGAGGGAAUGGGGUGGGAGUCUGGGAGAAGCAGGCACCACUCCGUCAACAUGUCUGCUUCUCCUGCUACUUCAUCAAUUACUAUCUUUAUAAUUUUAUUAUAUUAUCUCUAAUUAAUUAUUAAAAAUUAUUAUAAAAUCAUCUAAAUAUAUUAAAAAUUAAUAAUAUUUAAUGUUAAAUUUACUUGAUAUUUUAUAUGAAACCAUUUAAUUUUUUCUCGCAAUUGUAUAGUAAUUUUGUUAAAACUCCAACAAAGAUUCAAAUCAACUUUUUACGAUUUAUCUAACAAGGGAAAAAACUUUAAAAUUUCUUCAAAACCCUCAAAACAAAGCAAAUCAAAACAAAUCAGUCCAAAUUCAACCACUAAACCCAAAAAUAAAAUUAAAAAAACACCAAUUUUUCAUAAAUACCUCUUCAUAGAUCCAACGGUGUCGCCUUUAUCAUGGUGAUGGAGGAAGAAGCAAAAAGGGUACAAAAUAA